UGCGUAGACGGUUAUGUAAGUCGGGUGUGAAAGCCCCGGGUUCAACCUGGGAAUGCCAUUCGAAACUGCAUAGCUAGGGUGCGGAAGAGGGAAGCGGAAUUUCCGGUGUAGCGGUGAAAUGCGUAGAUAUCGGAAGGAACACCAGUGGCGAAAGCGGCUUCCUGGUCCAGCACCGACGUUCAGGCACGAAAGCGUGGGGAGCAAACAGGAUUAGAUACCCUGGUAGUCCACGCCAUAAACGAUGAGAACUAGACGUUGAGAGGGUAAGCCUCGCAGUGUCGUAGCUAACGCGCUAAGUUCUCCGCCUGGGGAGUACGGCCGCAAGGUUGAA
rnacentral:rRNA from 1 species